GCCUAGAUAGUGUAGUGGUCUAGCAUUCCGGACUGUCACUCCGGCGACCGGGGUUCGAAUCCCCGUCUAGGCG
rnacentral:tRNA from 1 species